ACGCGUUCUCCGGCAAGAGUGGUUUCAGCUGUUUUUUUGGACGUGCUAGUAGUUAACUCAUGGGAUAGAAAUACUACCGGGAGUGGUGAGAAACAAGACCUAGAAAGCUCAGAGAAAAGCAGAUGGAGAGUGGAGCUCUUGUCUGUCUUCUCGGCUCCUAACGGCAGCCCCAGAUUCGCAAUGAAGAGCCCCACGCCACAUGAAAUGUGAGCAAGUCCACCCACCUCAUCUACCCUGGCGGCCAGUUCCUCGUUGGACCAGAUCCCUUCUAUCAUAAGCUCCUCCUCAGCACAUGGUUAUUACUGGAAUGCUGGUGGUUUGGGCAACUCUUUUUCUGGUGAGAUGGUGCAGUGGGAAGGUACAUCCCACUUCCAGCGGGCUGUCCCUCGGUGCUGGCUUGGCUUCUUGGGAAAAGAGUGAAGAAUCAGAGCCUACACGCUGCUGCUGAGCUCCACAGCCUCCAUCUUGCCUCCUCCUGUUUAGACGAUGCGGGUCCUAGUUCUGGGAAGCCCUUCCACUGGCAGAUCGCAGAGCCUCUCUGAACUUCAGGCUCCUCAUCUAUAAAAUGGACCUCCCAAGGUGGUGGUUUAGUGCUGUCAGGGACAUGUUGGCAGGAGGACCGUGUGAGCUGUUGUGUCCACAGUAGCCUGGAAAGGCCCUUCCCGCUGAGGCAUAUUGCCCAAUAAAGUAGAGGGGUGAAUUCGAAGCAAGACCUCAAGCAGGGGGUGAAGCGGACAUGAUGUAGAGAAGCUGCUGCUGAUGGCAAUGGGACCAGAAAAGGGGGGCCUAAGGAAGAGAGAACAUGAGAAGCAAAAAGGGCAGCCCCUUAACCUUCAACCUCAGAGGCUCGUGUGGGAGAAACCCAGUCAGGUCUGAGGGGAGAUCUCACAGCAAGGGGGUGGGUGGGACUUGACUCAGAUUGCAGUGGGGAGAAAUUUUAAUGACACCCCCUCCCUAGCAAACCAGCGAUGCAAGAUGGUGCCAGCACAAUAUGGUGCCAGUGAGGAGGUGGUUUGGAAUGGCUGAGGAAGGGAGUCUGGGAAGUGGCUUCAUGCAACGCUGCUCGUUCUAGUGAGAAUGCAGCCAGGUAGUCCUAGGUCCCAGGGGCCGCAGAGCCAAGAUCUGCCUCACCAGCUAUGUGCAGGGACCAUGCACUUUGGCUUCACCUCUUCCUGCCCCUACCCCACCAGCAAGCCCCAGGGACCAGGCAGGACCAUCUCUGUCCUGCGCGCGCGCGCGUGUGUGUGUGUGUGUGUGUGUGUAAGAAUGCAGGGGACUCCACUCAGACCUUCAACCCUCUUGUCCCACCACCGUGAGGCCCAUGAACAUCUCUCUGCACCAGGAAAUUAUCUUGGCUGGGAGAAGGCGGAAGGGUGAGAAAACCUUGGAAUACUGAGCAAUUUUACUCAAAAGAGACUGAGUUAAUCAUACAGAAAUGGAGCUAUGUCUAAGGGGCAAUUUAAUGGUUUCUUUUUGUUUGUUUUCUUUUUGCCCGUCAGUAGUAGGAAUUAUCAGAUCACGAUGAGAAGAGUAUAAGAAAAAGUAAGAACAAUACUGGUUUGACCCAUCUGGGUAGGUGUGUGUGUGUGAUCUUUAGCCCUCCCACAAUUAUGUCUGUACACGUUUGCUGGGGCAACUGUAUAUUUUCAAUUCCAAUCGUCAGACCUUUCCUUGAAGCUCACGUGUGUUUUGAUCUGGCCAGGAAUUGAGAAUCAUAAAAUCAUUAAAUCUGUAUUAAUUACCUAUUGCUGCAUAGUAAGUUAAUCCAAAAUUUAGCUGAAAUAAAUAUGUAUUAUC
rnacentral:lncRNA from 1 species